rnacentral:rRNA from 1 species
AGUGAGCGCUGGCGACUGGCCUAUCACAUGCAAGUCGAGCGGCAGCGCGGCGGAGCAAUCGUCUGGCGCCGAGCGGCGGAUGGGUGAGGAACACAUCGGAAUCUGCCCAGUAAUGGGGGAUAACGUAGGGAAACUUACUCUAAUAUCGCAUACGAUGUGAGGAUGUCAGCGGGGGCUCGCAAGACCUCGCGCGAUUGGAUGAGCCGAUGUCGGAUGAGCUAGUUGGCGGGGUAACGUCCCUCCAAGUCGAUGAUCAGUAGCUGGUUUGAGAAGAUGAUCAGCCACACUGGAACUGAGACACGGUCCAGACUCUUACGGGAGGCAGCAGUGGGGAAUCUUGGACAAUGGGCGCAAGCUUGAUCCACCCAUGCCGCGUGGGUGAAGAAGGCCUUCGGGUUGUAAAGCCCUUUUGUCCGGGAAGAAAUCGUGUCGGUGAACAGCCGGCGCGGAUGACUGUUCUGGAAGAAUAAGCACCGUCUAACUUGGUGCCAGCAGCCGCGGUAAUAAGAAGGGUGCAAGCGUUACUGGGAAUUACUGGGCGUAAAGCGUGCGUAGGCGGUUGAUUAAGUCCGUUGUGAAAGCCCUGGGCUCAACCUGGGAAUGGCAGUGGAGACUGGGCAGGUGGAGUGCGGUAGAGGAGGGCGGAAUUCCCGGUGUAGCGGUGAAAUGCGUAGAGAUCGGGAGGAACAUCCGUGGUGAAGGCGGCCCUCUGGACCAGCAUCGACGCUGAGGCAUGAAAGCGUGGGGAGCAAACAGGAUUAGAUACCCUGGUAGUCCACGCCCUAAACGAUGCGAACUGGACGUUGGGGGGAACUUGCCCUUCAGUGUGGAACCUAACGCGUUAAGUUUGCCGCCUGGGGAGUACGGUCGCAAGACUGAAACUCAAAUGAAUCGACGGGG